rnacentral:tRNA from 1 species
UCCCUGGUGGCUCAGAUGGUAAAGCGUCUGCCUACAAUGCGGGAGCCCUGGGUUCGAUCCCUGGUUUGGGAA